GAUGAACGCUGGCGGCGUGCCUAACACAUGCAAGUCGAACGGAGUUAUGAAGUUUUCGGACGGAUUAACUUAGUGGCGGACGGGUGAGUAACGCGUGGGUAACCUGCCUCAUACAGGGGGAUAACAGUUGGAAACGACUGCUAAAACCGCAUAACAUUGCGAUGCCGCAUGGCGAUGCAAUUAAAUAUUUAUAGGUAUGAGAUGGGCCCGCGUCGGAUUAGCUAGUUGGUGAGGUAAUGGCUCACCAAGGCGACGAUCAGUAGCCGGCUUGAGAGAGUGACCGGCCACAUUGGGACUGAGACACGGCCCAAACUCCUACGGGAGGCAGCAGUGGGGAAUAUUGCACAAUGGGCGAAAGCCUGAUGCAGCGACGCCGCGUGAGUGAAGAAGUAUUUCGGUAUGUAAAGCUCUAUCAGCAGGGAAGAUAAUGACGGUACCUGACUAAGAAGCCCCGGCUAACUACGUGCCAGCCGCCGCAGUAA
rnacentral:rRNA from 1 species